rnacentral:rRNA from 1 species
GGGUUGUGAGGUUAAGCGACUAAGCGUACACGGUGGAUGCCCUGGCAGUCAGAGGCGAUGAAGGACGUGCUAAUCUGCGAUAAGCGUCGGUAAGGUGAUAUGAACCGUUAUAACCGGCGAUUUCCGAAUGGGGAAACCCAGUGUGUUUCGACACACUAUCAUUAACUGAAUCCAUAGGUUAAUGAGGCGAACCGGGGGAACUGAAACAUCUAAGUACCCCGAGGAAAAGAAAUCAACCGAGAUUCCCCCAGUAGCGGCGAGCGAACGGGGAGCAGCCCAGAGCCUGAAUCAGUAUGUGUGUUAGUGGAAGCGUCUGGAAAGGCGCGCGAUACAGGGUGACAGCCCCGUACACAAAAAUGCACAUAUUGUGAGCUCGAUGAGUAGGGCGGGACACGUGGUAUCCUGUCUGAAUAUGGGGGGACCAUCCUCCAAGGCUAAAUACUCCUGACUGACCGAUAGUGAACCAGUACCGUGAGGGAAAGGCGAAAAGAACCCCGGCGAGGGGAGUGAAAAAGAACCUGAAACCGUGUACGUACAAGCAGUGGGAGCACGCUUAGGCGUGUGACUGCGUACCUUUUGUAUAAUGGGUCAGCGACUUAUAUUCUGUAGCAAGGUUAACCGAAUAGGGGAGCCGAAGGGAAACCG